rnacentral:sRNA from 1 species
GCCGGGUGCGGUGGCGCACGCCUGGAAUCCCAGCGGCUCAGGAGGCUGAGGCAGGAGGACCGUGAGUUCAAAGCCAGCCUCAGCAAGGGUGAGGCACUAAGCGAUUCAGGGAGACCCUGUCUCUC